rnacentral:rRNA from 1 species
GACGAACGCUGGCGGCGUGCCUAAUACAUGCAAGUCGAACGCAGUGGGGACGGGUGAGUAACACGUGGGUAACCUCCCAUCAGAGGGGAUAACACUUGGAAACAGGUGCUAAACCGAUACUGAUGGAUGGACCCGCGGUGCAUUAGCUAGGUGGUGAGGUAAAGGCUCACCAAGGCCACGAUGCAUAGGCGACCUGAUAGGGUGAUCGGCCACAAUGGGAGUGAGUACCGGGCCAGACUCCUACGGGAGGCAGCAGUAGGGAAGCUGCGGCAAUGGACGAAAGUCUGACCGAGCAACGCCGCGUGAGGGAAGAAGGUUUUCGGAUCGUAAAACUCUGUUGUUAGAGAAGCGGUAUCUAACCAGAAAGCCACGGCUAACUACGUGCCAGCAGCCGCGGUAAUUC